GUCUGAAACUUACUAUGACCUCGCCUCGGAGUUUCCAAUUCUGUCCCAUUCUCCUUAUCAAGGCAGCCUUAGCCUGCCUGAUUUCAAAGGUGGGGGCUGCAGAGGGAGAUUGACUGAUAGUGUGGACUGGAUUUAGGAUUUGCUCCCAAAGAACAAGAGCACAGAAAGGGGAAAAUGGCAACUUUACGGUGAAGAAAUCUGUCAGACCGCACCUUACCCAAGUCACACAGGAGCCCUGUCACAGUCCAUGAAGAAUGGCACUCCCUAGCACUGAAUGGAAGGAGGAACAGAAGAGGAUUUGGAGACCGUGUUGCCAGUUCUGUUACCAAGGAAGAAGUUACCUGGGGAAAGCAACGAAAGGUCCAAAUAUCUGGCUUCUAACAGCAGGGCCCGACUUCAAGAGAACAUCGCUUCCAACAUAUAUUCUGUGAACAUCAGCCAGGUUUGCUUUUUUGGUGUCUGGCUGCCUCUGUCCUCUGUCCUGCCAGCAGUGACACUAGCUGCACGAACAGCCCGGUUAAAAAAUGGGCAAAAGAAUUUGAACGGGCCCGUCACAAAGGAAGACAUGCGUGUGGCCAAGAAGCACAUAGCAGUUCUCAACAUCGUCAGUCAUGGGGGAAACGGGCGUUAACACCGCAAGGAGAAACCACCGCACGCUCACUGGAGUGGCUAAAAGUCCAAAGAGUAGCAGGAGUUGGUGAGACUAUUAAUGGUACAGCUCCUUUGAAAACCGUUGGCAGUUUUACAAAAAACUGAACAAAUACUUACGGUUCAGCAACUCCACUCAAGAAUUCCACCCAAAGGCGGGGGCAACUGGGUGUCUCCUUCGGUUAAGCGACGACUCUUGAUUUCAGCUCAGGUCAUGAUCUCAUGGUCAUGAGACUGAGCCCGAUGUCAGGCUCUACACUGACAAUGUGGAACCUGCUUGGGAUUCUCUCUCCCUUUCUCCCUGCUCCUCUGCUGCUCACGUGCUCUCUCUGUCUCUUUCUCAAUCUCUCUCUAAAUAAGCAAACUUUUUUUUUAAAGACUUCCUCCUGAAGGUAAAUGAAACAUGACCACCAGAAGAUUUAUACAAGAAUGUUCAUAGCAGCUUUAUUCAGAAGAGGCAAAAUGCAGAAGGCAUCCAGGUGCCCAUAAGUAAGAGAAAAGGUAAAUAAAUGCUAGCAUAAUUAUAUAAAGUAGUAAACAUGGAUGAACAUGAAAAUAUUGGGCUGAGCAAGAAGGGCCUUAUCAAAAGACAAUAUAGUAAAUACUAUGUGAAUGUUUAGGACACACAAAAUUAAUCUGUGUAGUUGAAAAAUGAAAAAGAACUAUUGACUUGUUGUGGUAAGAAUGAGGUUGGAAAGGGGUAAGAGAACUUUCUGGUGUCAGGGAAAAGUUCUGUAUCUUGGUGAGUCUUGAGUUCCAGGACUUUAUGCAUCUGUCAAAACCCACAGAAUGAUACAUUUAAUAUACAUAUAUCUAUGUAAAUUUUACCUCAGAGGCAAAAAAAUGAGCCAUAAACAAAUGUUGAGUUCUAAUUAAUGAUACAUAUAAUGAAGUGUUUAGCGGGAAAUGUACUAAUGUCUAAAACUUACAGUGAAAUGCAUUCAAAAAUGGUUUAAUGUGUGCUCAGAUACAUUACUUCAGUAAGGGUCAGAAAAUGUGACUUACAAGCUCUAGGAGUUGCUUUAUGGUGCUCACUGUCCUCUUUUCGGUAGCUUUGGAAUUUUCCAUAAAGUAAUGUUCAGAAAAUCAGGAAUGACAACCGAAAAAGAAUACCUGCUUUUAUUGAGAAAUUACUUUGUGCCACACUCUCUGUUAUCCUUAUAGCUUAUUUUUAAAUUCUCUCAAAAUCCUGAGGGUGGAUAUUAUUAUCUCCAUUUAUCCUCAGGAGAGAAAACUUAACACCCGGAGAGGCUCAGUGAACUUUUCCAAGAUCAAAUGGCAAAAGAUAAAAUGAUGCAACUACUUUGGAAACAUUCUGACCAUUUUCCGUAAAACUAAACAAGUACUCAUGCCCCAGAAAUUCCUCUCAAGAAAUCCUUUCCAAGAGAGAUGGAAACAUAACGUCCAUGAAAAAGACGCGUACAAGAAUGCUGAUAGCAGCUUUGUUUAUAGUAUAGAAUCCAAAUACAGGUCUUUCCCAGUUUAAGCUCUUAAUGUUCAUGAUAUCCUGGUUUAAAAAAAAUGGAAGCCUAUCCUCCAUCCUCAAGCAGCUGUUGCUUAGGUGGGCAACCGGGUGUGUGUUUACAAAAGAAUGUGUGUCUGUCUGCUUUUCUUGGUUCUAACAUCUCUCUUGAUCAUGACUCUCAGACGGGGCUAGCACACGAGGCUAAGGGUGAGGAGUCAGAGCCAAGAAGAUGAGAUGCCGUCUGGGAGCCAGGAGAGUGUGAGCCGGGCAGGCUGGCAGCACAGCUCUUUGAUGUCUGAGGAAGCCGGGGAAAGGCUGGCCACAGGGCCCUGUGGCGCCCGGGUCAGAAGGGCUGAGCAUCCACACGCAGUGGCCAGCACAGACUCACGGUGCCCUGAGACCAGCAGGAAACCACACCAAGAUGACGGUAGGGCUCAGACCAAUCUAAAGUCUACGGCAAGAGUUUGGGCCGCAAAAAGAACUGGGUGUACAACCAUAGGACCUAGUGGUUGCUGUUGUUUAAUAGAUUUUAUUUUUUCUUCUAAAGCAGUUUGAGGCCCACCACAAAAUGAAACAGAGAGUACAGAGACUUCCCACAUAUCCCUUACGGCAACACAGGCCCAGCCUCUCCCUCUGUCAACAUCCCCCAUGGGUUUUGACAAACGUAUAAUGGCAUGUGUCCACCACCGUAGUAUCAUACAGAGUAGCUCCGCUGCCCCCCAAAUGCCUGUGUUCUACGUGUUCCUCCCUCCCUCACCCCAGACUCCUGGCAACCGCCGAUCUUUUUACUGUCUCCAUAGUUUUGCCUUUUGCAGGAUAUCAUCUGGCUGAAACUGUACAGUAAGUAACCCUUCCAGAUUGGCUUCUUUUAAAUUUUUUUUUAACGUUUAUUUAUUUUUGAGACAGAGAGAGACAGAGUAUGAAUGGGGGAGGGGCAGA